GACGAACGCUGGCGGCGUGCCUAAUACAUGCAAGUCGAGCGGACUUACAAAGCUUGCUUUUUGAGUUCGCGGCGGACGGGUGAGUAACACGUGGGCAACAUGCCUGUAUGACUUGGAUAACUUCGGAAAACCGGAGCGAAUACCGGAUAAUGCUUUUCUUCUCCCGUAGAAAAGCUGAAAGAGUGUCUACGCUGUCUGUUACAGAUGGGCCUUCGGCGCAUUAGCUAGUUGGUGGGGUAACGGCUCACUAAGGCGGCGAUGCGUAGCCGACCGGGGAGGGUGAUCGGCCACACUGGAACUGAGCCACGGCCCAGACUCCUACGGGAGGCAGCAGUAGGGAACCGUCCGCAAUGGACGAAAGUCUGACGGAGCAACGCCGCGUGAGUGAUGAAGGUGUUCGGAUCGUAAAACUCUGUUGUUAGGGAAGAACAACUACGGGAGUAACUGCUCGUACCUUGACGGUACCUAACCAGAAAGCCACGGCUAACUACGUG
rnacentral:rRNA from 1 species